rnacentral:lncRNA from 1 species
CCUAGUUCGCCCCAAAGUGGAUUUGACAGGUUGUCAGCCAGGCUCCCCGCCCCCACCGCCUUCCGGGUCCCUCUCCCCAGGCGGCGGCCAGGACGGCCGCCCGCGCUCCCCGGCUCAGCCUCCUAUUGGCCCUUUCGCAGCCUGGCGCCCCGCCCCCGGUCCAGCUCGUACUCCCAUUGGCCUCGAGCCUCCCGGCGCCCCGCCCUUACCGCUGACUCCCCUCCCAUUGGCCUCGAGCCUCCCGGAGCCCCGCCCCUGCCUUUGACUCCCCUCCCCCAUUGGCCUCCAGCUGCCUGGCGCCCCGCCCCGUCCCGACUCGCCCUCCCAUUGGCCUCCGGCCCGGUGCCCACCCUCUCCGCGGCCCCUCCUGAGCAGCUCCGCCCGGCUGGCGGCUCAGCGCGAGGUCUCUGCCGGGUCCUUCGUGGCCGGCGUCCUCCCGAGUUCUGUUCCGGUCCCUCGCCACUUCGCUGCCAGCGUUCGCCGUCUCCCCUCCGCGUCGCCCGCCGCCCCGGGAGCCGAGCUCCGCGGCGCGCUCGCUGCCCUCCUGCGCCUGCCCCCAGCGCUCGGCGCCCUGCGCUGCCCGCACGCUCUCCUCCUGCCCCUUUCCUCCUUUUUGCGUCACUCGCUUUUCCUUUCUCCCCGAGUAGGAGGCCGAAAACGCCUUCCCGGGUUUCCUCCCGGGGCCCAUCUGUCGGGUCGUCCGCGCGCGUCCCUCUCCCCGCCCCACGCCUCCAUUCCGCCCGCCCCCGGACUCGGCCGCGGGGACCCACCUCCCCGCGCUGCUGGGCGGAGGGCUGGCGCAAACGCGGUGAAUAUCAGCACGAAGAUGGUUAUUGCCCUGAGUUUGUGAAACGGAAAAUGAGCUGGAACCCCCAGAUCGACCCAGACCCAGGCUCGAGAUUGAGUUCUUAUAAAGGGCAGAGUGAGGCUGCAGCGACAAGAGUUGGUUGGCCCGACAGCGUAAUUGGUUUUUCCGGGCGGGGAGGGCUACAUCGAUCGUUCAUGCAGUGGUCUUCUGACAGUUUAAAUUCUGGGCUUCCUCCAAAAUUUGUGCAAGUUUUGUAA